rnacentral:SRP_RNA from 1 species
GCCGGGCAUGGCGGUGCAUGCCUGUAAUCCCAGCCACUCGGGAGGCUGAGGCAGGAGAAUCGCUUGAACCCAGGAGGUGGAAGUUGCAGUGAGCCAAGAUGACGCCACUGCACUCCAGCCUGGGCAACAGAGUGAGACUCUGUCUCAA